rnacentral:tRNA from 1 species
GCGCCUGUAGCUCAGCUGGAUAGAGUAACAGACUACGAAUCUGGAGGCCGGGGGUUCGAAUCCCUCCAGGCGCGCCA